AGAGAAGUGCCUGCAUGUAAUGUGUAUCUAGGUUCUAGGCCAUAUACAUGUGUUAUUAAUGCUUUAUAAGAUAGUUCAUUUAAAGUGAACCAUUGUGAUGGCAUGGGAUUCUUUAUCUUUCUGUGUUUCUGUAGGAACACUUGCCAGUGAGAGAGAGAGCAGGGCAGGACAUCGGAGGAAACCACACCAUGUAAGAUACAUAAAGUUUCUGGCAUCAUUUCGAAGUAUACAAAAUAAAUGUAUGCCAAAAGGCUAUAUGCAUUAAUCAUCCAUUGUUUAUCCUUACACUAACAUUAUAACAUUAUGGUGAACAAUAAAAAAUGUAAAUCCACUUCGUCCUAAUUUUUUACCAUUAUGUUUAUGACUCAGGGGCUUUUUUUCCGUUCUGUCAGAUGGGCCGUCCUUUGUGGAGAUCAGUGGGGUGAACACAGUGACGGUGGAGGUUCCCUAUGGCUUCCAGUGCUCAGCCAAUUGCUUCCCAACUUGCACCUUCACCUGGACCAGAGGAGAGCUCACCACCCAGGGCCCACAGCUCAACCUCCAGCUGAAGGAGCAGGUUCCACCACAGGUCCUGAUCUGUAUGCCUACAAACCCCACCACUGGGAAGUCCGUGACAGUCAGCAAAACAGUCAACGUGACGUCUGGACCGUCCAAUAUAAAGAUCACAGGUCCUGAUAUACUGUCCAGUGGAGUGACGUCCAACUUUUCCUGCUCUGCUGAUUGCUACCCGUCCUGCUCCUACACCUGGACAAUUAGUUCUGAAGCACAAAGCACAGUGACCACCAAAUAUGGUCAAACCAUCUCUGUCACACCUGACUCCUGGGAGAUUGCAGAGGAAUUGAUCUGUGAUGCUCAGGACACUGUCUCACUCCUCUACAUCUCAACCUAUGUCACACCUUACGUGGCCCGUGGACCGGGGGCCAUUUUGAUCACGGGUGCCAGCUCAGUGACAGUAGGAGACACUUACAACUUUGUGUGCUUUGUUGACUGCACCCCCUCCUGUAACUUUACCUGGACAUUCAAUGGAAAGAUCUUCAAUGGUGACGAGAUCCAGUUGCCAAUCUUCCAUAAGGGCGAUAAGCCCAUGGUUGGCAGUAAACUGGUGGUUACGGUUGAUGAUUACAGGCACAAUGAGGCACUGACGUGUGAGGCCAAGAAUGUUGCCUCAGGGGUCACUGCUGUUAGCACCAAGAUCCUGAGCGUCACUGAUCCUAUCUCUGUACAGCCGGUGUCCCAGGACAAGCCCUUGGCACACCAGCCCUUCUCACUGCAGUGUGUGGGCUCUCAGAAUCCAGCCUCCAUUUUGUGGUUAAAAAAUGGCCUCCCUGUAGCUGUGUCCGGCAGGGUCAGUCUCUCCCCCAACAAUAUCACUAUGUCUUUUAGUCCUCUGCUCCAGUCGGAUGGUGGGCUGUACCAAUGCAUUGUUUCUCAGGGGGGAGCACUCAUCAAAGGGGUUGGGUACCAACUGAAUGUCAAUUAUGGACCACUUCAAGCUGUUAUCAUCCAAUCUGGCAAAGGCCCAGUAGGUAAAGUCCUGUAUCUCCUGCCUGGAUCAAAGACAGCCCUUCAGUGUUCGGCCCUGUGCUACCCCACCUGUACCUACACCUGGAUAUACAAGGGGAGGCUGGCAGAGAUGAACGCCUCCUUCUCCCUCACACCUGAGACAACCAUGGACGGAGGACCCCUGAGCUGUGUGGCUUACAACUCAGUAACCAAUGACAACAGCACUGCCAAUACCUCAGUUGUGUUACUUGAUGGACCAUCUAAUGUGACCAUCUCAGGACCAGGUGCCCUAGAGGUAGGGGUCAAGGCCAGUUUCAAGUGUAUUGCCCAGUGCUCUCCCUCUUGCAGCUACACCUGGAGUGUGUAUGGUCGGACCAUGCACGGCAGUGUGGUUGAUAUAACCAUCAACCGUUACGUGGCCACUGAGUCUUUCAGCUGCGAGGCACACAACACGAUCACCGGGAAGACAGCAACAGCCAAUGAGACACUCAGUGUCACAGAUUCUCACUGGUGUGGAUGUUGA
rnacentral:lncRNA from 1 species